rnacentral:piRNA from 1 species
UGGGAAAGCUGUCUCUGGUGGAACCCUGG